rnacentral:rRNA from 1 species
AAAGAGUUAAAUAAUUAAAAAAGUUAUUGUUUCAAUAUUAUUUUUAAUAAUUAUUUUGAAAUGAAAUGUUAUUCGUUUUUAAUGAUAUCUAGUUUUUUUAGAAAAAAAUUUAAUUUUAAAUUAAAUUUUAAUUAGAUUUAAUUAAUUAAAUUUAUUAAAAUUUAAUUUUAUAUUUUAAGGGAUAAGCUUUAAAUUAAAUUUUUAUAAUAAUAAAUUUUAUUUUAAAAAUUUUAUAAUUUAUAUUGUUAAUAAAUUUUAUUUUAUUAUAAAUAAUUUUAAAAAAUAAAAAAUUUAAAAAUUUAUAUUUAAAUUUUUAUAAAAAAAUUAUUUUAAAUAAUAAAAAGUUAAAAAUAAUGAUAAAAUUAGUAUAUAAUUAGUUUUUAAUUUUAAAUUAUUAUUUUUAAUUUAAUUAAUAAAAAGGAAUUCGGCAAAUAUUUAUAUUCACUUGUUUAACAAAAACAUGUCUUUUUGUAAUUAAUUUAAAGUCUAAUCUGCCCACUGAUUAAAAUAAUUAAAGGGCUGCAGUAUUUUGACUGUACAAAGGUAGCAUAAUCAUUAGUCUCUUAAUUGGUGACUUGUAUGAAAGAUUGAAUGAGAUAUAUACUGUCUCUUAAUUAAUUUAUAAAACUUAAUUUUUUAUUUAAAAAGUUAAAAUAAGUUAAAAAGACGAGAAGACCCUAUAGAGUUUUAUAAUUAGAAUUAUAAUAUAUUAUUUAUUUUUAAAAAAUUUUUAUAAUUUAAAUUAUUUUAUUGGGGUGAUAAAAAAAUAAAUUUAACUUUUUAAUAUUUUAAACAUAAAUAAUUGAAUAUAUGAUCCAAUUUUAUUGAUUAUAAGAUUAAAUUACCUUAGGGAUAACAGCGUAAUUUUUUUUUUUAGUUCAAAUAAGAAAAAAAGUUUGCGACCUCGAUGUUGGAUUAAGAUAAAAUUUAAAUGCAAAAGUUUAAAAUUUUUG